rnacentral:rRNA from 1 species
UACAGAGGGUGCGAGCGUUAAUCGGAGUUACUGGGCGUAAAGGGCGCGUAGGCGGUUAUUUAAGCUAGAUGUGAAAGCCCUGGGCUUAACCUAGGAACGGCAUCUAUAACUGAGUAGCUGGAGUAUUGUAGAGGGUAGUGGAAUUUCCGGUGUAGCGGUGAAAUGCGUAGAGAUCGGAAGGAACACCAGUGGCGAAGGCGGCUACCUGGACAAAUACUGACGCUGAGGCGCGAGAGCGUGGGGAGCAAACAGG